GCGGGCAUAUAUUAAUGGUAAAUGAUCUGCCUUCCAAGCAGAAGAUAUGGGUUCGAUUCCCGUUGCCCGCU
rfam:Klebsormidium nitens mitochondrial DNA, contig: KFL_3731.